rnacentral:rRNA from 1 species
GCCAUGCAAGUCUCAGUACAUGCCUAACUAAGGUGAAACCGCAAAAGGCUCAUUAAAUCAGUUAUGGUUCCUUGGAUCUUAAACAGUUACUUGGAUAACUGUGGUAAUUCUAGAGCUAAUACAUGCAAACAAGUCCCGACCAGAGAUGGGAGGGACGCUUUUAUUAGAUCAAAACCGAUCGGCGUCCGGUUUCGGCCGGCGCCGUCUCUUUUGGUGACUCUGGAUAACUUUUAGCCGAUCGCACGGUCACAGUACCGGCGACGCAUCUUUCAAAUGUCUGACUUAUCAACUGUCGAUGGUAGGCUCUGCGACUACCAUGGUUGUAACGGGUAACGGGGAAUCAGGGUUCGAUUCCGGAGAGGGAGCCUGAGAAACGGCUACCACAUCCAAGGAAGGCAGCAGGCGCGCAAAUUACCCACUCCCGGCACGGGGAGGUAGUGACGAAAAAUAACGAUACGGGACUCAUCCGAGGCCCCGUAAUCGGAAUGAGUACACUUUAAAUACUUUAACGAGUACCAAUUGGAGGGCAAGUCUGGUGCCAGCAGCCGCGGUAAUUCCAGCUCCAAUAGCGUAUAUUAAAGUUGUUGCGGUUAAAAAGCUCGUAGUUGGAUCUGUGUGCCACGCUGUCGGUUCACCGCCUGUCGGUGUCAACUGGCAUGUCUGUGGGACGUCCUGCCGGUGGCGGUACGGGCUGCCGGCGCUGCGUAGGGGCUCGCCCCCGAAGCACGCCGGCGUGUCCCGGUCCGCCGAUCCAAUCCCGCCGCGGUGCUCUUCACUGAGUGUCGAGGUGGGCCGGCACGUUUACUUUGAACAAAUUAGAGUGCUCAAAUCAGGUCGUAUUUAGGCCUGAAUACUG